rnacentral:rRNA from 1 species
GCGUUAUCCGGAAUUAUUGGGCGUAAAGAGCUCGUAGGCGGUUUGUCGCGUCUGUCGUGAAAGUCCGGGGCUUAACCCCGGAUCUGCGGUGGGUACGGGCAGACUAGAGUGCAGUAGGGGAGACUGGAAUUCCUGGUGUAGCGGUGGAAUGCGCAGAUAUCAGGAGGAACACCGAUGGCGAAGGCAGGUCUCUGGGCUGUAACUGACGCUGAGGAGCGAAAGCAUG